rnacentral:lncRNA from 1 species
AAUAAAUAUUAAAAAAAAAAAGAAAAGAAAAGUGGUGAUGGUCACACCUGUGCUCCCCUCUGUGGAUGAAUGAGAAAAGCAAGAUUGCCAGUUCCAACUGUGAUUCCCUCUGGAUCUGCUGGCUUUUCAUGUCAGCCCUGAUUAGGUCAACCUCAUGCUUAUUAUGUUUUUAAUAGCAGAUUUAUUGAGAUGUAAUUCAUAUGCAUACAGUUCACCCAUUUAAAGUGUCACAACUUGAUCUGGGGAUGUGGCUCAGUGGUAUAGUGUUUAUCUGGCAUGGAUGAGAUCCUGGGUUUGAUCCCCAGCACAGCAGAAAAGAAAAAAACAAAACCAAAAAAAACUGUACUGUUCAGUGGCUUUUAGUACAUUCACAGAGUUGUGCAGCCAUCAUCACAAUCAAUUCCAGAACAUUCUUUUCACCCAGCCCCUGGCAACACUGAUGUGCUUUGUCCUAAAGGAUUGUCCCAGAUUGAACAUUUCAUAUAAAUGGAAUCAUACCAUUUUGUGUCUGACUUCUUUGACUCAGAGUAAUUUUUAAAAAAUGGUUUUUUUUAAUUUGUUGAUAGACCUUUAAUUUAUUUAUUUUUAUGUGCAGUGCUGAGAAUUGAACCCAGUUGCCUCACGCAUGCCAGGCAAGUGCCCUACCACUGAGCCCCAACCCCAGCCCAUCAGGGUAAUAUUUUAAGGGUUUAUCAUGGCAUAUGUACAUCAGUACUUAAUUCCUUUUUAUGUGGCAUAAUAUUCCAUGUUAUGAAUAUACCAACUUGGUUAUAUAUUUAUUAGUGGAUGGAUAUUUGAGUUGUUUCCAUCUUUUGGUUGUUAUGAAUAAUGCAACUAUUUGCAUAUAAGUUUUUGUGUGGAUGUAUGUUCUUAUUUCUCUUGGGUAGAUACCUAAGAGUAGAAUUGCUGGGUUGUGUGGUAACUCUAUAUUUAACCAUUUGAAGAACUGCCAGAUUGUUUUCCAAAGUGGUGGCAGUAUUCUGCAUUCCCAAGACCAGUGUACGAAGUUUCUUCUUCACGACCUUGUCAACUCUUGUUAUUAUCUGGCUUUUUGAUUAUAGUCCUUCAGUCCUAGUGGGUGUGAAGUGAUAUUUCAUUGUGAUUUUGAUUUGCAUUUUCUUUUUUUAAAAAAAAUUUUUUUUAGUUGUAGAUGGACACAAUACCUUUAUUUAUUUAUUUUAUGGGGUGUUGAGACCUGAACCCAGUGCCUCACACAUGCUAGGCAAGCGCUCUGCCACUGAGCUAUAGCCCCAGCCCCCAUGAUUUGCAUUUUCUGAUAGCUAAUG